GGGCCCGCACAAGCAGUGGAGCAUGUGGUUUAAUUCGAUGAUACGCGAGGAACCUUACCUGGGCUCGAACACUAUUAGACGAUACCUGAAAGGGUAUUUCUCUUCGGAGCUGGUAGUGAGGUGCUGCAUGGUUGUCGUCAGCUCGUGCCGUGAGGUGUUGGGUUAAGUCCCGCAACGAGCGCAACCCCUAUCUUCAGUUGCCAACAGUUAGGCUGGGGACUCUGGAGAGACUGCCUCCGUAAGGAGUGAGGAAGGAAGGGACGACGUCAAAUCAUCAUGGCCUUUAUGCCCAGGGCUACACACGUGCUACAAUGGUAGGUACAGAGGGAGCGAAGUUGCGAAGCGGAGCGAAUCUCAGAAAGCCUAUCCCAGUUCGGAUUGGAGUCGCUAGUAAUCGCAAAUCAGCAAAGUUGCGGUG
rnacentral:rRNA from 1 species